AUAGUUAUAUUCUGCAUCCACUAAACAGUUGCAUAACGAAUUUGUGAGUCGUCGUUAACAGUUAACAUUAUUUUGCAUCUUGUUCUAUUUUUAGAUAUCAAUAUGAAAGUGUUUGAUGAAAGAUCGUAUUUGAAACCCAGCACGCCACGGACUGGAGAAUGUGUUCCAGGAUGUGAUUGUCAAGAUAUUGAUCUGCAGAAUACUUGCAUGAAGUGACAUUUUCCAAAGAAGUGAACCAUAUCAACCAUGACACUACAAAUUGUUACAGUAUAGUUAUUUAUUAUAAAUUAUUCUAGUAAUAUUUAAUAAAUAUUUAUUAAUUUA